UACGGAGGGUGCAAGCGUUGUCCGGAUUUAUUGGGUUUAAAGGGUGCGUAGGCGGCUAUCUAAGUCAGUGGUGAAAUCCUGCAGCUUAACUGUAGAACCGCCAUUGAUACUGGAUGGCUUGAGUACAGACGAGGUAGGCGGAAUUUAUGGUGUAGCGGUGAAAUGCAUAGAUACCAUAAAGAACACCGAUUGCGAAGGCAGCUUACUAGGCUGUAACUGACGCUGAGGCACGAAAGCGUGGGGAUCAAACAGG
rnacentral:rRNA from 1 species